AUGAAAAUAAAGCAAGCACAAAGUACAGAGGAAGCUCGACCCGCUCUCCCCGCGGAGCUCCGCCUCUACAGUCGGUCCAUCCACCUGGCUGCAGCGAGGGGGCGGGGCCGCGGCGCUGACGUCACGUGCGCACCUGCCUCGGGGGCGAUGCACCUGCGGGUCAGAGGCAGGGUCUGGCCUCCCGCGGGCGGCGCUGUGCUGCCCCCGAGCCUCCGCGCUGAGGGCGGGAUGCGGGCGGGGGCGCCGGGUCCCCUGGCUGAGCAUCCCACACCCGGGUCUGCAGGGGCCUCCACCGCUUCUGCAGACCCUGCGCUCACCCUGCCUGCAGCCCAGCUUCUGUUUGUUUUUUGAUCUCGGACAAGUGACUGAGUUUUAAACCUCCAAGUUUUAGGGGCUGCCCUGGGGAGACCCGUGCUCUUCCCGCCCUGGAGGGUCUCCUCCCACUUCUGGCCUUUGCUGGCCCUGCCCAGGGACGCGGCCCCGUGACCGCACAGGGGUUUGCAGUUUGUGGCCACACAGGGCAGACAGCUGGCCCUAGUCCCGCGGCCCUCGGCCGGGGUCCCCGCUCCUGGGCCUGGGAACCGUUGGCGUCACCGUCCUUGGGACCUCGGGGACCCUGACCCCACCCUGUCGCUCCAGGGGCCGCCCCCCCACUUCCCCUCCCGAGCACUAUCGAGGCCUGCGUGCCCCCCCUCUAGCAGACUUCUGGAAGUUCUGACUUUGUGCUCUGCUGCUUCUAAUAGUGUGCGUAGACCCGUCAGCUGGCUCCCUGCCCCUGUGGGAUCCAGGGCUGUGUCUCCCCCAGACCGACUGACUCAUUUUAAGAUUUUAUUUUUCUGUCAUCUCUACACCCACAUGGGGCUUGAACUCUCCGCCCCAAGAACAAGAGUCGCGUGUUCUUACGGACCACCCCAAGCGGCCAGGCUCCCUUUGAUUGAUUGACAGGGAUUAACUGAAGCCGACGUGCUGCCUGUGUCAUGUCAGGGCAGAAACUGAGCCCCCGCCUCGAGGUGCGGUGGAGCCAUUGGGACCUUGGUCGAUGUUAAAGAAAGCGGAGCCUCCCCGGGAGCCCAGGGAGCGGGGCCCACACACGUGACAAGUUGGCCGUUUCCUUGACCAGGAGUCAUUGGGCUGGCUGCCGAUUUAUUUGAGUUGCUGUUCGACGGCGAAGGUCGUUCUAGGAUGGGGACACAGCGAGAACGUUCCGGGUUCUUGCGGGUUCGGAGGUAGCUAAAGCUCCCCCGUCGUGGACUCGAUGUCCCAG
rnacentral:lncRNA from 1 species